UACGGGGGGGGCAAGCGUUGUUCGGAAUUACUGGGCGUAAAGGGCUCGUAGGUGGCCAACUAAGUCAGACGUGAAAUCCCUCGGCUUAACCGGGGAACUGCGUCUGAUACUGGAUGGCUUGAGUUUGGGAGAGGGACGCGGAAUUCCAGGUGUAGCGGUGAAAUGCGUAGAGAUGUGGAGGAACACCGAUGGCGAAGGCAGCCUUCUGGGCCAACACUGACGCUCAUGCACGAAAGCGUGGGGAGCAAACAGG
rnacentral:rRNA from 1 species